AAUAAUUUUUUUCUCGCGCACCGAUUAUUUUGCUGUAUAAGCAAGAGAACCCACCACGUUAGUGUAACGUAUCUUGUACAUCACACUAAUAUGUGCUUUAAUUUACCAAGUGAGAUGAGUUACUUUUAUGGCUCAUUCAGUCAUAUCACACUGCAAGCUGCAUUCAUCAAUCUUCAAUUGGAUUUUGUAAAUGCUUAAUGAAACAUGUUUCCCUUUUAUGCAGAUAUGCAAUGGCAAGCCCUUCCGUGUGUUCCAAAGACAAUGCCUGCGCCUAGCCACAGCAGCUCCCUCAUACAGACUCUGCAAGCCAAGAGGCCGUGGAGGCAAAUACAGGCAGCCAGCACACCUCGAACAGCCGCCUUGACUGCGGGUGUGUCACGCUAGUCGCCAAGGAAACAUUUGAGGCAAAGCGACAGGCAAUGUGAACAGCCACUUCUCCAUGUAAACGAUACUCUUUCUCUCGGAUGACUCCUACGCCUCGCCAUGCCAGCACACUUGUGCACAAAGAUGCCGCGGAGGCACGUACAGGUCAGAGGCAAGAAGCAGUAGCAC
rnacentral:lncRNA from 1 species